AGAAUCCUUCAUGACCCAUUCUGAAGAAAGCUUAUGAGAUAACCCUUUGACCAUUCAGGUGGUUUUGCCUGGAAGAUAAUUAGAUAAUUUAAAGGGGACCUACACAGAGAAUGAUCAGUACCUAACGUGUAUGCAUAUGGUUUUCAGUAGUUGAUACUUAGUAAUUCUUUGUUAAAUAAAGAGAUGAUCAAAUGCAGCUUGAUUCAAUCUUUCUGUCCAGAUAGGAGGUAAAAAUGACAUCUGGAUCCCAUUCUCUAGGCCUUGAAGCAGCUCUUCCAUUCAUGUCAAGGUUGUAAUUUUCAUUUUGAUGUUGAGGAAGCUACUUUUAGAAUCAAAACAGAAGAGAUGAGAGCUUAUAACUUUUGAGGGGUGCCUGCUUUCCCCUAUAGCUGGCUAUGGUGUUUUCUAGGAGAAUGUGCUGUCCCUACAUUUUCACAGUCUUAACAGCAGUAAAGGUUUUGCAUCAAGAAAGUAACAUUUGCCAAGGAGAUUCACUGGUUGUAGAUGUUUUGUGGAGGAUGUGGUCUCUGUGAUACGUUGGCUUGUCUUUACCUGUUCGCUUUGUGAAGUAUGGAAGGUGAUUUGUAACCACUUGGGCCUUUCUGUGCUGAAGAAAAGAAGGAAGGAGAGAGGGAGACAGGGAGGGAGAGAAGGAGGAAAUGAAUUUCAAUGCAUUAAUCCCAGUUUCCAGCUACUUUAAGAACUCAACAAAUUGAGAAAGCACUUUUUCUUUUCUUUUCUUCCCAGGGACUUGAAAAGGGAAACAAGGAGCAAUUAUAAGGUAUUCCUAUCUCAUGAGCCUGUUGGAUUCUCAGGGAAAUGAAUUUACAGAAGGCUGUAGGCCAUCCCUGCAGAAGAGGUGAAAGGUCCUGACUCCUGAGAAGAACCCCACCUCCCUCUCCUGCAUUAGAGGCAGAGCUCCUGUCUAGCGUCCUGGUCUUUCCUGGACCGUUCGAGGACAGCCAGCAUGGUUUCCCGGACUGGAGAAGUCUGACUAGCAAUUUUUCCCAGGCCUACCCACCAGAGUGGACCUACUCUGUGCCUGUAUCCUGCGUCUGCUGCUGUACAUACAUUCAUUCACAGAGUUCUCAUACAACUUGCAUGGUAAGCAGUGCUCCCAUUUUACAGAUGAGGGAAGUGAGGCUCAGUGGGUAGAACUAAUCUGCUUGGGGGGGUGGAGGAUCCAAACCCAGAAUGGCUGCCUGAAGCCCCUUUCAUACUUUCCACGCCCAUAGCUGUAUGUCUCUCGUGUUCUUUCAUAAGGAGGAGAUCAGGCUUAAGAAACUUGCUCAGUGUAUAUUUAGUGAAUGAAGGAAUGUGAGUGGUAUAGGAACACAAGAAUGUUCUCAUGACAUUAUUUACUAGCUGGAACACAUGACCCCGUCAAAUGUGCCAUUGUUUUGAAUUAUUCAAAAGCUUUAAAACAUUUGUUUUGCUAAGCACCCAUUUUUCUUUUCUUUAUUGCACACUG
rnacentral:lncRNA from 1 species